CUGGGCAACAGAGUGAGACUCCAUCUCAAAAAAAAAAAAAAAAGAAGAAGAAUAGAUUGAACCUGGGAGGCAGAGGUUGUAGUGAGCCAAGAUUGUGCCACUGCACUCCAGCCUGGGCGACAGAGUUAAGCCUCUGUCUCAAAGAAAGAAAGAGAAAGAAAAGAGGAGAGAGGAAUGUCAACUUAAUUAAUUGUUUAAAAAGAGGAAAAACUGUGUUGUAUGUGUGUGGAUUUGUCUGUUUGCUUAUUAAUUCCAGUGCUUUUUUUUGUUUUCUAUUUAUGUCAUUUAAUUAUUAAUUAAUGUCAUUUAAUUUUAAAUGAGAAAUUAUGCCUCAUGUAAAAGUUUUUUUGUAAAAGGCUAGGCUGAGAUUCAUUCAUUGCCUCACCAUGGAUGCCACCAUGAGUCUAACUCUGCUGUCUCAGCUCUGCAAACACAGAUGAUAGAUGGGCAUCUCAUCUGAACAUCAUUAGGUCCAGGGAACACUUGUCCAUGCCACCCUGACUGACUUUAAUCCAGUGGGUGUUUGUUGAGUGUCUGCUACCUGCAACACCAGCCAGGUGGCUUGAUAUGGUAAAGACGCAAGAAAUGUUAGCUUAACAUAUUGAUGCAAGCUACUGUAGUUGGCCCUGGGGAGAAGGGAAGUAUAAAAAUGAACAAAGUGUAGUCUUCAUCUCCUUGAGGCUUACAAUCCAGGGACAGACAGGACAAGUAAUUAUUAGUCAAGCUGACCAUACUGUGUGUUAUCAAGGAGGAAGGAAGUUCUAUGGAAGUACAGAGGAAACAGGAGGGUGGGAAAAGUGGGAAGGCAGGGGAGGUGUCCAUAGGAAAGGAACACCAGGCAACAGGAAGAACACAGGCAGAGCUGGGUGGACACCAAUUGAGAAACUUGGGAAUAACACCGCAUGGCAAGAGUGGAGAGUGGUCUGGAGCAGCAUGGAGGAGGCGUGGUGGAAGAUGGGGCUGGAGAUGCCAGUCAUUCUGAGGGUGCUUGGGGACCUGUCAGAUGGUUUAGAGCAGGGAGUGAGGCAUCAGAUUUGUGUUUUAGAAGAAGGUGAAGAGAAUGGAUUGGAGUAGGGGAAGUGCCAUUGGGAGGCUAUUGUAAUGUUUCACUGGAUAAAUGACAGGGCUUGACUGAGAGCAGUGGAAAUGAAAUUGAGGUUACUCAAGAAUGAUUUGUCUUCGAAAGCCAAUCUGUGAAUUUAUAAUGGGCAUGAACUUACCAACCACUGGAAUGAUUAGGUCAGCUGGCCGGAACACUACUUUUAAAAGUGAAGUCCAUUAAUAAUCAAAAGAUUACUGGCUGAAAGUGAAGUGAAGGCAAAAGGAGUUGGAUGGUCUGAGAGGACCUUUUACCCCAUCGAUAGUAGUUUUUACAUAGCAGUAAUACUAAAGCUUAAUCUUUGGUGGGUUGUUGUUCUCUCUGGAGAGAUACUUGGCCUGCCACAAAAGGAGGAGCUGCUUCUCUGGCCAGCACUGGACAGAAGCUGGCCAGCAUAUUCCAGGAUCUUUGGUUUGCAAGAAAGUGAGCUUGCUCAGAUUAGCAGGUAGAAUGAGGAAUAAUCGUAAGGAAAGGAAAUAUUCCAACUCCAAAGCUAGAAAGCCAGCCAGGCCUCAGGGGACUCAGAUAUCAAUCAGGCACUUUCUCCUCCCUUCUCCCCUCCAUGCCCAGUGAGAAUCUGCUUUCUUCCCCUCUACCCCAAUCACUGGUCCUUCUGAGGCCGUGCACUUACAUGGGCCCCAUUACCACUUCUCCAAAAUGGUGGCAUUGCCCCCUAGGCUUUCUAGCCUUGUAGUCUGCUCCUCACAGCUGACCCAGUCUCUGUGUCCCAAGUGCUAAUACCCAGAAGAGAGGAUCCUAAUGGCCCAGGUUGGGUCAGAUGUCGUUCUCUAAGCAGGCUAAAGAUGUGAUGUGACAGAUGCUUUGAGAAAAAACAAAAUAGUAGUAAAGAAUGGGUAACUCUAAUAUAUUUUAAACGUUUCUGGACUUCAUGUUAACCCAGUGUAUUGGUUGUCUAUGACUAUAUAACAAGGCACCCUAAAAUGUAGCAGCUUAAAACAGCAAGCAUUUAUUACGUCACAGUUCUGUGGGUCAGGAAUGCAAGAAGAGCUUAGUUGAGUGUUUUUGUCUCAGGGUCUCUCAUGAGUUUAUAGUUAAGCUGGCCCCUGGGGCUGCAGUACUGUGAAGGGUAGGCUGGGGAUGAUCUGUUUCCAAGCUCACCCGUGAGGCGGUCUGGCUACCAGCAGGAUGCCUAAGCUAUUAGCUAUUGGCUGGAGACUUCAGUUCCUCACCACAUGGGUCUGUCCAUAGACUCUCUGAGUGUCCUCAUGACAUGGCAGCCAGCUUCUCCCAGAGUGAGCGAUCCAGAGAGCACCCAAGAUGGGAAGCUUCUGCCCUAUCCUAUUGGUCACCCAAACCAACCCUGGUACACAGUAGGAGGGAGGAUGCACAAAGGUGAGAAUACCAGGAGGUGAGGCUUGCUAGGGGCCAUCUUGGAAGUUAGUUACCAUAUCUGGUCAAGAAACAUUCCUUUAGUGCCUACUGUGUGCCAAGUGCCGGGACUGGGAGCUACAUGACACAGAGUCUGUCCUAGAGCAUCAAGCUCACUGUCUGGGCUGGAGAAG
rnacentral:lncRNA from 1 species